GCACCAGUGGCUCAGCUGGAUAGAGCGUCGGACUACGAAUCCGAAGGUCGGGGGUUCAAAUCCCUCCUGGUGCGCCA
rnacentral:tRNA from 1 species